rnacentral:rRNA from 2 species
GGGUUGUGAGGUUAAGCGACUAAGCGUACACGGUGGAUGCCCUGGCAGUCAGAGGCGAUGAAGGGCGUGCUAAUCUGCGAUAAGCGCCGGUAAGGUGAUAUGAACCGUUAUAACCGGCGAUACCCGAAUGGGGAAACCCAGUGUGAUUCGUCACACUAUCAUUAACUGAAUCCAUAGGUUAAUGAGGCGAACCGGGGGAACUGAAACAUCUAAGUACCCCGAGGAAAAGAAAUCAACCGAGAUUCCCCCAGUAGCGGCGAGCGAACGGGGAGGAGCCCAGAGCCUGAAUCAGCAUGUGUGUUAGUGGAAGCGUCUGGAAAGGCGCGCGAUACAGGGUGACAGCCCCGUACACAAAAGCGCAUGUGCUGUGAGCUCGAUGAGUAGGGCGGGACACGUGGUAUCCUGUCUGAAUAUGGGGGGACCAUCCUCCAAGGCUAAAUACUCCUGACUGACCGAUAGUGAACCAGUACCGUGAGGGAAAGGCGAAAAGAACCCCGGCGAGGGGAGUGAAAAAGAACCUGAAACCGUGUACGUACAAGCAGUGGGAGCACAGGUUUACCUGUGUGACUGCGUACCUUUUGUAUAAUGGGUCAGCGACUUAUAUUCUGUAGCAAGGUUAACCGUAUAGGGGAGCCGUAGGGAAACCGAGUCUUAACCGGGCGUUAAGUUGCAGGGUAUAGACCCGAAACCCGGUGAUCUAGCCAUGGGCAGGUUGAAGGUUGGGUAACACUAACUGGAGGACCGAACCGACUAAUGUUGAAAAAUUAGCGGAUGACCUGUGGCUGGGGGUGAAAGGCCAAUCAAACCGGGAGAUAGCUGGUUCUCCCCGAAAGCUAUUUAGGUAGCGCCUCGUGAACUCAUCUCCGGGGGUAGAGCACUGUUUCGGCUAGGGGGCCAUCCCGGCUUACCAACCCGAUGCAAACUGCGAAUACCGGAGAAUGUUAUCACGGGAGACACACGGCGGGUGCUAACGUCCGUCGUGAAGAGGGAAACAACCCAGACCGCCAGCUAAGGUCCCAAAGUCAUGGUUAAGUGGGAAACGAUGUGGGAAGGCCCAGACAGCCAGGAUGUUGGCUUAGAAGCAGCCAUCAUUUAAAGAAAGCGUAAUAGCUCACUGGUCGAGUCGGCCUGCGCGGAAGAUGUAACGGGGCUAAACCAUGCACCGAAGCUGCGGCAGCGA